AUUGAACGCUGGCGGCAUGCCUUACACAUGCAAGUCGAACGGUAACAGGUCUUCGGAUGCUGACGAGUGGCGAACGGGUGAGUAAUACAUCGGAACGUGCCCGAUCGUGGGGGAUAACGAGGCGAAAGCUUUGCUAAUACCGCAUACGAUCUACGGAUGAAAGCGGGGGAUCUUCGGACCUCGCGCGGACGGAGCGGCCGAUGGCAGAUUAGGUAGUUGGUGGGAUAAAAGCUUACCAAGCCGACGAUCUGCAGCUGGUCUGAGAGGAUGAUCAGCCACACGGGGACUGAGACACGGCCCAGACUCCUGCGGGAGGCAGCAGUGGGGAAUUUUGGACAAUGGGCGAAAGCCUGAUCCAGCCAUGCCGCGUGAAGGAUGAAGGCCUUUGGGUUGUAAACUGCUUUUGUACGGAACGAAAAGCCUCUUUCUAAUAAGGAGGGAUCAUGACGGUACCGGAAGAAUAAGCACCGGCUAACUACGUG
rnacentral:rRNA from 1 species